UGGUGACCUUUCCACCAUUGGUGAAGCUUUGGAGCUUGGAUUGGAGCCUUUUGGAGGAAAGAUGUAACACACUGGACCUUUGCAAAUUGCGAGGUUCGAGUGUUUGGACUGUGUCCUGAGCUUUUCCAGAUUUUCUGGUGGGUCGUUGACAGUGUUCCGACCUAUGGUUCGAAUCCCGAGAAUUGUAGUAUUUUAUGUAGCGCUAAGGUCACUAAAGAGUUGGACUUAGCCUACCCUCGGAUUGCAUUCUGCACGAGGUGUAACCGGUGACAGGUCGAUGGCUGUACCGGUACACAUUUUGUACCGGUACACUUCUGAUGGUUGUACCGGUACACUUGCGGCGAAUUUCGAACCCGAGCCUCGGGUUUGCAUUUUCGUAGGAUGUGUACCGGUACACUUUCCCGUGUACCGGUACACUUUGGCAGUUUUCGAACAGUUCGAACUGCAGGGGUGUUUUUGCAUUGUUGCACCUCUAUAUGAUACCCCACGCCUCCCCUUUGGUUUCCUGAGCCCAGAACUCAGAGGAAACAGGUGAGAGAGCUCCUCCUUGCCUCAUUUUGGAUUUCAUCUUCCUUUUUCUUGGUUUUUAGGUGGUUUUUGCUCUCUUUUGCCUUUUAGAGCAUUUCCCACCAUUGUUGGAGGCUUGGAUCUUGGAGAGGAGCUCAUUGGAGAGGAGAACUUCAACCCUAGUUGGUUUGGGGCCUUGUUGGGAGCUUCUUAAGAGGUUAGAUGCUUGUUCUCUCCUCUUGAUUUGUAUUUUGAUGGUGGAUUUGAGUUGAAACCCUAGAAUGUGAGUUUAGGGUUGAUUUUGGGCAUUUUGAUUCUUGGGCCUUUUGAGCUAAAUUGAUUGGAUUAGAACCUUUAUCUAGGUUGCAUUGGAAGGGAUCUAGCUUCCAUUUGGAGCUUAAAAGGGAUUUUCUACACUUAGGUGAGAUUUUAGCCCUUUUUGCCUUGAUGGUUAAUGUUUGAGUUUCGGGUUGUUCGUUUCGUUUGGGUAACCCUCGUUUUGAUGCUUCUAGGGUACUAGGAGUCUUGUGGGCACCUCCGUUCAGCGAAACGAAGGUUUCGAUUUUGGUGGGUUUGGCCUCACCUAGAUGAGAUAAACUUCUCAUAUGAGGUUUUUAUUUAUCGUAAAGUGAAAACGCAUGCAUAUUCUUAUUGGAUAGAAUAUUUGAGAAUUUUAGAAUGCUUAAAUUGCACAUGUCAUAUACCAUGCAUAUUUGACCUCUAUAUAGUAGAGAGUCUUCAUGUUGGGCUAGGGGCCUAUGGUUAGCAUUCUUACAUUGAUUGAGAUCAUGUUGCAUAUGGUACAUAUGGCAUAUAGAUUACACUCUUGGACUUAGAACGUAUGAUUGACGUGGUUGGACAUAUCGACAUUAAGUGACAUAGGCUAGAGUGUAUACAAAUAGUAAGCUAAUGUCAUAAAGCGGCAUUAGGCUUGGACUAGAUAUGAGUUUAGCAAGCUAAUGUCAUAAAGCGGCAUUACACUUGAUGGAUAUGCAAAUUGCAUGUGCAUGCUAUUAUUAUGAGAAUUAUGCCAAGUUGAUAGCUGCAUUGGGAAGAACAUACAUGUAGCAAUAUGAGAGCACGCUAGAGAGCAUGUGUAUUAAUCUAUUAUUGAUAGAACAAGCUAGCGUCAUAAAGAGACAUAGAAUGUGAAUUGAGCUUAGAUUAUAGCAAUGUUUCAGUGUCAUAAAGAGGCACUAAACAUAGUGAAUGUGGGAACUUCACCUUGAGAUUUGGACUUAGUAAAGCUAAGGUCAUUGACAUUGAAUUAUCGAACGGUUAAACCUUCACUUGAGGCAUAGACUAGACACUGGGGUUGCUAGUGUGCAUUUCCAUGUUAGAGACAUGAUGACUGUUGAGUUGCAUUUCCAUGUUGGAGACAUGACGAUUGGACUAUUGAGGUUUUGACCAUGCUUGCUUUCCAUUUGUGCUCAUACGCACAUGCUUGUGAGGGUCGCUCCCCACAAGCCGGCACUCCGGAGUUAGCCUACGCGACUUAUGUUCGCCCGUGCGGUAUCGAGUAGCCUACGGGGCCUGGAGGGAUAGACUCAUUCCUAGAGUAGGAAUGCUGGAGCUACCACUGGCACUUAGGCGGCACAAGCCGGACUACACCCGUGUAGAUCCUGAAUGAGAUUGAACCAGAAUACUAAACAACAAUUGACAAUCACUACUAGAUAGGUUAUAGUAGUUGGAUUUUCUUGAUAUGCUAUGGCAUAGUGUUGGACAUUUGGGCUUAGAGUAUGCUUGACAGUAUCGCUUAUUACAUUGUAGUAUUCUUGGUUGCUAUGAUAGUACAUACUAGAUAUGUAGUGGGCUCUAGAAUAUAUAUCACACUUUAUAGCAUUACUUGUUGCAUCAUGAUACAUUGUUUAAGUUUUGGGCAUAUUGGAUCAUGUAGAGUAGAUGUACUCCAUGUUGACAUUCAGAAUACUUGUGGCAUAGUAGAGUAGCAUUUUAAUUUCAUGCUUCAAUUACUGUUGAUAUUUCCUGUUAUCAUUAUUUGCUCGUUUGGGGCCUAGUGGUGCGAUUUGAUGCAGGUCAGUAAUUGCCCACUGGGAACUAUAAUUUAUAGUUCUCACGCCCCCUGUUUUAUGUUUCCUUUCAGUGCCUUCCACUCCGGGAGAGGCUCGGGAUCGCGGAAAAGGUUUCGCCUCGAGUUAGCUAUCGAGGGUCUUGGCGUUAGGUGGUCCACAUCUCUUUUGUUUUCUUUUGGAGAGGUUGUGAGAGUUUUGUACCUGAUUAUAGAGACCACCCUAUUUUUGUAUCUUGAGACUUAUGAUGUAUCAGUUUACUUUAUGCUUAGUAGUAUGACUUUCUUUUGAUUCUACAUAAUGUUAGAACCUAGCUAUAUACUUGCUCUGAUAUCUCUAGUUGUAGAUCUUCUCAUGCUUUACUCUUCCGUUUUUGUGUAGACGCCUUAUAUGUGUAGACAUAUGGCGGGUCUGGGCGCGCACCGGGCGGGCCUAUGCCGGGUCCCGGGGCGUGACAAAAGAUUUCUAACCCUAGCUCACUCCUAGCUUGGUUUGGAGCUUCUAGAGAGGUUAGUAGUUUUGAUCUUUCAUUUGAUUCAUGUUUUGGUAGUUUUUUUUAGGGAAAAACCUAGAAAUGAGAAUCUAGGGUUUUAUUUGGGGUUUCUUGAUUUGAGGCUUUUGAGUUGGAAUUGAUGGGUGUAGAACACUCUUAUAGAUUGGAUUUGAAGCUUUCUAGCUUCGAUAUGGGCUUUGAUCAAGUUCUUCUUGACCCAAGGUAUCUUUACACUUUAGUAUGUGUAAUUUUCGAAGUAGUCGUUUUGUAGCUUUUAAUCCUUUAGAAUUUCUCUUAGGGUGCUAGAAGCUUGGGGGACAACUUCGUUCGAAGAAAAGAAAGGGUUCGAAGUGCUUCCGAUGGGUUUGAUCUCACCGAAAUGGGUGAACUCCCCCUAUGUCUUCCUUAUGAUUUUAAGACAUAUUUAGAUGCUUAUUCAUACUUAAUACGACAUGCUAAAAUUUAUGAAAACAUAAUACAUACAUGUUAUGUAUAGUCAAAUUUGAUGCUCUAUGUUGUAGAGGCUUAUAUGUGAACUUGUGCACGAACUAUCACUAUUUGAUGAUUCUUUUUUAUGCAACCAUAGAAAGCAUGUUAGAGCAUGAAUGAUGGUAUAACUCUUAGGGGGUGUCUAGUGAAUGGCUUAGCAAAGUGAUUAUCUCACAUGAUGAACAAUAUACUUGUGACGACAAGGACAUGUGACAUUGCGACCUAGUGAAUAACAAGGCUAGACAUGAAACUAAGCAUGUUGCAUUUCAACCUAGUGGGAUGCCUAGGGCUUGAUAUUAUGACAAUGUAUUGACUUUGAGAUUGAUAGUGUCACGCCCCGGGACCGGCGGAGGCCCUCCCGGUAGCGUGCCCAGACCCGCCAUAUGUCUGCACAUAUAAGGCGUCUAC
rnacentral:lncRNA from 1 species